UUUGCAGCAACCCUCUGAUUUCAUGUGUUUCCCGCAGUCCCGCUCAUGCGUUUCUAACAUUCGCACAGUUUUACUCUUUCAUGACGACUUCCAAACUUCUCUUCUCAUCAAAUAAUCAUCGUUUUCGCAUUCUUCUUCGCCCUCUAGUUUUGGAACUCAGGAAAUCGCAUGUUGCAGAAGAUGCAUGGCUUCAACGCAGGUUAUUGUGUACUGCUGCUGCUCGUGAAAUCCCCAUUGUUGAGAACACAAUCAGUAAGAGAUCUUUGUCUAAACUUCGAAGAAAAGCUAUGAUUGAAGAUUAUGUGAAAAAGUAUAGGUCGAUGAAUGCUGGAAAAUUCCCACUAGCAAAAAAUGUACAGAAACAUGUGGGUGGCAGUUACUAUACAGUGAAGACUAUUCUUCAAGAGUUGCAUCACAAUCCCAGUUCAUCUGCUUUGGCCACUGCUGCAAACUCCAGUAUAUGGCAAACAGCUCAAGGGAAUGGGAUUUCUGAUGCUGGAGUUACUACUGCUUGUCAAGUGUCAGAUGAUAGUAUUGCUGUUGUGGAGGAAUAUGGUACUGCAGCAGGAUGUGAUCUAAGCUGUGAAGAGGUUGUGGAUGAAAACAUUUGUCAAAAGAUGGUAGAUAUGUCAGAAACGAAUAAUUACCUUGAAGAAACAGCCAAAUAUCCUUCGAGUAGUGAGAAAAAGGCUGACCUGGACUUUGUGGGAGAGCAUGACAAGACAUUUGCUGGUAAGGAAAUGGGUGAAGAUAGUAGAAUUAUGGAAAGCCAAGAAAUGCUUGAUAUGUCAAGUACGGUGGAGAACCCGUCAUCAAAUCAAGUUGUGACAAUGGAUGAUUUGAGAUUGCCAGCAAAGCCAGGUCAUCCUUCUAUAGUUACUGAUACAUCUAACAGAUCAGAGUACGUGGAAGUAGAUGAGGCCUCUGCUAAAGCCUUUGAAUCUUAUGAAGUUGCAAGGUUUUUAAGAACUUAAGCUACAAUGGAGUGGGAUCUUUCAAUUUGUCAAACGGACGUGAUGUUUGGUAUUCUGGGAUCAAAUUGGGUGAUGCUGUGAGGUUUUUGGAUAAUAUAUUGGAUUGGUGAAUUCCUUUCCUCAUGGACAUUUCUGAUGAAAACAUAGAUACCUCAACCUCAACCUCAACCUUAACCUCAUCCUUAAGAUAUGAAUGGGUACAUGCCUUGGUAGUUCAUUCAGAAGGCAAAUAUCAGAUAAUAAUGUUGGGGAGUCUACCUUGCAGAAGACUGAAGAUAAGAAACUGCAGAAAUCAUCAUUAUGGGGCAACCUGAAGGGCUUUGCAAACAACAUUAUCAACUUUUGGCGAACAACAUGACUUUGUUCCUUUUGAAUAGAGAAUCAUGAGAUUAUAUAGAAAUCUAACAUGUUUUGGGACAACGUUGUCGAAAGAUUUCCUGAGCAACCUUAGAUUGGUAGCCUGAUUAGUGAUAGGUAGAGUUCAUUAGAGGAACUGCUUGUGCCUGGAGAUUGGGUUGGAGUUUAGAAAAAGCGAAAAAUCUAUGUGUUUUUUUAUCAUCUUAUUGAAGGAGCUAGUGCGCUUGCCUUAUAUACAAAUGGGAUUAUCUACGUAAUUAGGCGGGGAAGGUAUGGAAGAUGCGGGCUGAUAUAUGGACUAUGGUUGUAAAGUAUA